CAUCGAAGCACGGCCCUGCUCUGGACGAGUUGUACGCGCCGCGGGAUCAGAGCACGCAGACAGACGCGCACACACAGGACAGACAUCAGACAAACUCCGACAUUGGUGACAAAUUGAUUGACAAAGUGACAGCGAAAGACGUCGGCGCACCAGAACAGGCGAAAACGAGCGACAAAGUCAAAGUUACUGAAAAAAUCAAGUCCAUUGAUAAGGAUGAGGAACCCAAAGUAACGGAUAAAGUCGAAUCGGACGAGUCGAGUAAAGAGUCAGAGUCACAAGAGGCAGCCGAGAGCGAACCGGCGAAGGAGGGCAUUCGGAAAUUUCAUUACGUGCAUGACUUCCCCAUAUUCUAACAGCUAACAUAUGCAAUGUAACAAGGAACAAACAGAAGAGUCAGAGGGAGAAGAAACAUCGAAAAGCAGAUGGUGGCGCUACCUAUACCCGUUCUACUACUUCGUUUGAGCGUCAAUUAUAUCUAUACAGUGCAAUUUUAUACACAGUUCCGGUUUGUAUGACGAUAUCCUGCCUAUAGCUAAUAUUUAAUGAAUUUUUCCCGUCAAGAGUAAAAUGAAAAUGUUAUUUGUAAAUCUUAUUGACUUAAUGUGUUCA